AUAGCUACUAGAAAUAGUAGAUUAAUACCGAAUGUGAUCAAUAUUUAUAGAUGAUGUUGAGGAAAGGAGCUAAGGCUUACGCUAAAAGAUUGGCCCGACGGCCCAUUAGCUAGUUGGUAGGGUAAAGGCUUACCAAGGCGAUGAUGGGUAUCCGGCCUGAGAGGGUGAUCGGACACAUUGGGACUGAGAUACGGCCCAGACUCCUACGGGAGGCAGCAGCUAAGAAUAUUCCACAAUGGACGAAAGUCUGAUGGAGCGACGCCGCGUGGAUGAUGAAAAGGGCCGAAAGGUUGUAAAAUCCUUUUACACUGGAGGAAUAAGCAGAGUAGGGAAUGACUCUGUGAUGACUGUACAGUUUGAAUAAGCAACGGCUAAUUACGUGCCAGCAGCUGC
rnacentral:rRNA from 1 species